GAUGAACGCUGGCGGCGUGCCUAAUACAUGCAAGUCGAGCGAACGGACGAGAAGCUUGCUUCUCUGAUGUUAGCGGCGGACGGGUGAGUAACACGUGGAUAACCUACCUAUAAGACUGGGAUAACUUCGGGAAACCGGAGCUAAUACCGGAUAAUAUUUUGAACCGCAUGGUUCAAAAGUGAAAGACGGUCUUGCUGUCACUUAUAGAUGGAUCCGCGCUGCAUUAGCUAGUUGGUAAGGUAACGGCUUACCAAGGCAACGAUGCAUAGCCGACCUGAGAGGGUGAUCGGCCACACUGGAACUGAGACACGGUCCAGACUCCUACGGGAGGCAGCAGUAGGGAAUCUUCCGCAAUGGGCGAAAGCCUGACGGAGCAACGCCGCGUGAGUGAUGAAGGUCUUCGGAUCGUAAAACUCCGUUAUUAGGGAAGAACAUAUGUGUAAGUAACUGUGCACAUCUCGACGGUACCUAAUCAGAAAGCCACGGCUAACUACGUG
rnacentral:rRNA from 1 species